GUUAGACCCACAGAGAGAGAGAACUGCUCCUUAAAGCAAAUUAUUUUGGCCUUCCGGAUAGCCUGAGCACACUUAUUUCUCAUUUGCCUGAACGACAGCCAGUCACCUUGAGUAUGCGUGUGCUGAGCCUAUCGCCAAAUGCAACUCUUGAGGUGGAGUUACUCAAAGAUCACGGUCGAACUAUUGGCUGAAACUAGGGGCUUCUUUAUGGGGGUGUGUUAAUUAACAAUACCACUGAAAUUAUUUUAAAAAAGGUCCAAGUGUCUUCGACAGAGGAGAUCGAGAUGAUUCUAUACCAUUUUACAGAGGCCAGUUCAUGAAGGAAGGCUUGGUCAUUGAAGUUUUUUAGCAAGCAUCUAUGACACAUCAGGACAGGUCGUUUCACAUGAGCAGCCAUUACGAACACAUGCUGUAAAACAGUGAUCACUAAGGUCAUUACAGAAAACACAGGACUGAUACCUUUCAGGAUAACAAUGAGGAGCGUAGCCUUUUUUGGGUGUUUGGAAUCAUACCUUGUGGGAUUAUUGAUAAUCUGAGAAAGAUUUAGGGAGUCCCAUUGCUUUAGGACCUGGUCAGAUGGUGUAAGCAUGUCCCAGUUUAGGUCACCUAGCAGGACAAAUUCAGACUUAGUGUAAGGGGCCAGGAGAGAGCUUAGGGCAGGUAGGGUAGGGUACAGGCCGAUGGAGGACGAUAGCACCCAGCAACAGUCAAGAGCUAUUUGAAAGUUUAAUACUUAAAAACUGCAAAUCAAAUUGUUUGGAGACAGACUUGGAGAUAACCGAGCACUGAAGGUGAUCCUUGGUAAAGAUUGCCACUCCCCCACCAUUGGAAGGUCUUGCCGGAAAAUGAAUAACCAGAAAGGUUAACAUCAGUAUUCAAAACACUCUUUCUUAACCACGUCUCAGUAAUGACCAACACAUCUGGACUGGAGCUGUGAACCCACACCUUUUAGGUAAUACACUUCUACAGUUAACAUGCAGAAGACCCAGGCUUUUACAAGAGCAGAAAUCAGUGAAGCAGAUAUCAGCGCACAAGUCAGAAUUGGGGCUAGCAACAGUAGGUGGGCCAGAGUGUACAUUUUUAUUUAUUUAUAAAAAUAUACUGGGGUGCAAAGGAGCAAAAUAAAUACCAGUAUGGGGGAUGAGGUAGGUAGAUAGAUGGACUGUUUACAGAUGGGCAAUGUACAGGUGUCGUGAUCUGUAAGCUGCUCUGACAGCUGGUGCUUAAAGUUAGUGAGGGAGAUGUGAGUCUCCAGCUUCAGAGAUUUUUGCAAUUCAUUCCAGUCAUGGGAAGCAGAGAACUGGAAGGAAAGACGACCAAGGGAGGAAUUGGCUUUGGGGGUGACCAGUGAGAUAUACCUGCUGGAGCGUGUGCUACGAGUGGGUGCUGCUAUGGUGACCAGUGAGCUGAGAUAAGGCAGGGCUUUACCUAGCAGAGACUUGUAGAUAACCUGUAGCCAGUGGGUUUGGCGACGAGUAUGAAGCGAGGGCCAACCAACGAGAGCCUACAGGUCGCAAUGGUGGGUAGUGUAUGGGGCUUUGGUGACAAAACGGAUGGCACUGUGAUAGACUGCAUCCAGUUUGUUGAGUAGAGUGUUGGAGGCUAUUUUAUAGAUGACGUCGCCGAAGUCGAGGAUCGGUAGGAUGGUCAGUUUUACGAGGGUAUGUUUGGCAGCAUGAGUGAAGGAUGCUUUGUUGCGAUAAAGGAAGCAGAUUCUAGAUUCUUUAAAUGUGGAUUGGAGAUGCUUAAUGUGAGUCUGGAAGGAGAGUUUACAGCCUAACCAGACACCCAGAUAUUUGUAGUUGUCCACGUAUUCUAAGUGAGAGCCGUCCAGAGUAGUGAUGCUGGAUGGGCGAGCAGGUGCGGGCAGUGAUCGAUUGAAUAGCAUGCAAUUAGUUUUACUUGCGUUUAAGAGCAGUUGGAGGCCACGGAAGGAGAGUUGUAUGGCAUUGAAGCUCGUCUGGAGGUUAGUUAACACAGUGUCCAAGUAGGGGCCAGAAGUAUACAGAAUGGUGUCGUCUGCAUAGAGAUGGAUCAGAGAAUCACCAGCAGCAAGAGCAACAUCAUUGAUGUAUACAGAAAAGAGUCAGCCCGAGAAUUGAACCCUGUGGCACACCCAUAGAAACUGUCAGAGGUCCGGACAACAGGCCCUCCGAUUUGACACACUGAACUCAGAGAAGUAGUUGGUAAACCAGGCGAGGCAAUCAUUUGAGAAACCAUGGCUUUCGACUCUGCCAAUAAGAAUGUUGUGAUUGACAGAGUCGAAAGCCUUGGCCAGGUCUAUGAAUAUCUUAUCGAUGGCGGUUAUGAUGUCGUUUAGAACCUUGAGCGUGGCUGAGGUGCACCCAUGACCAGCUCUGAAACCAGAUUGCAUAGCGGAAAAGGUAUGGUGGGAUUCGAAAUGGUCAGUAAGUACAUGCACAUUUCCAGAAAUCAUCAACAGUAAUACAAUCAAGGCAUGGCAUAGGACAUGGAGAGCUCUGCAGUGGUGAUGUAUGACAUCUGAAUGUGCAUCAGAUGCCAACAAGAUCAUAUUGUACAGAAAUUCCAUCAGGUAACAUGAAUACAAAGUCAGCGAGAGGUGGUUAGAAUGGGAUGGGAGGCCAAGUCAGUGUAACCAAUAGAGAGUCAGAGUCCUGAGUCUGGGAACAAACAGUCUGUCCCACGGUUGGGUAAAUAAAGUUGGUAGUCAACAAAGUAUGCAGGAGUCAUGAGGCAAAUAGCAAAAUGGACAAGAACAUUUUUAAAUAUAUAACGACUUGGGGCUAGCCAUUGUAAGUUCAGAGUCACUCACCCCAACAGUGCGUGUGUGUUGGAGGUGAGUGAAAGCUCGGGAGAGAGGGGUGAGUGUGGUGGAGGUACCUGUACCAGACAGGGGGAGACAGGCCAGGACAGACGGUGAAUAGAUCAUCAGUUGGAAUCCAAGCAGCAGUGCAGCAGGCAUUGGGAGUAGGUGUCACACCCACUUGGGAUAAGCUUUUAUUUCUGGAGGCAGAUUUCUUGUAUAAAAUGCCAGUGAAUGGUCUUUGAACAGCAGGAGGGGGCUUCAGAGGAUGCUUCAAAGACUCCUGACACUUGUUGGGCCCAAGGGCCUUUUAUUUCACACCUUAGUGCUAAUUGAAUUUGUAUCUGGCCUGUCCUUGCAAGCCUGGGAGCCUUAACAUUUUAUUUUUCUUCAUGGCUUUCAAAAUAGCAUCAGACCAAACACUACUCAGUCAGUUCCAGGUUGGAAUGGUGUCCUCAGGUCUCUGCUGUUUGUUGGCUAGAGCACCCUCCAACAUAGCUUGGAAAAAUAAAUGACGUUGAAAGCAGUAAUCUCUCCAGUUAAUUUUGGUCAAAAUGAGGUUGUAGGUUUGGAGUUUUGAUUUGGAGCGAAGGCCGUGCUGUGGAGGGUAGUAUCCUGCAUAUGUACCUGCCGAAAAAUCUAAGUUUAUCUAACUUUAAAUCUAUCCUUUUGUAAAAAUUUAAAAAAGGAAGACCCCGGUAGCUACACCGUUCAGUGUGCCAGCUUCACCAGCUUUUCUUAUGGCACUUCAGAGAUGCUGGGCUCACCCGUGGGCUCUUGCCCACCACAGUAAGGACAGUGGGACGAUAUCUGCCAUGCCCGAUGCAAAACAUGGGAUGAAUGCAUAGUAGAGCUAAUGCUCUUCCCAGAUGAAGCACUGAAGGAUGAUGCCCGCUGCCCCAGACCUCAGUGCAGGGCCACAGAUGAGCUACUGUCACGGGCCUACGACACAACGGCCCACAUGGCCCGCAUUGGGAACUCCCUCUCAGUGCUCAUGCAAGCACAGAACAGGAUGCUCCAGUCAGAGCACGCAGACCUGGACCUUUGCAACCUGAAUGACGCAUCUCUUCAAGCAUUUGCAUUCCUGACCAGAGAGCUAGGCAGACUGAUAUCCGCCCUUGUUGUGAUUCGUUGCUAGGUCUGGCUCGCCCAAGCCCCAAUGUCCGAUGACUCCAGAGGGGCGCUGAGCAAGCUCCCAGUUGUCCCCGGACUGCUCUUCGGCCCCGCGGCUGAGCAGGCCAUUGAAAGUAGAAAACAGCGCAUUAAAACGUACAUUUAAGUCAUUUAGCAGACGCUCUUAUCCAGAGCGACUUACAAAUUGGUGCAUUCACCAUAAAGAUGGGAUUAUGGGUAGAAGAGACGACAGGGGUAAGAAGUGAGGUGGGGGGGGGGUUAAUAUAAAGAUGGGAUUAUGGGUAGAAGAGACGACAGGGAUAAGAAGUGAGGUGGGGGGGGUAAUAUAAAGAUGGGACUAUGGGUAGAAGAGACGACAGGGGUAAGAAGUGAGGUGGGGGGGUUAAUAUAAAGAUGGGAUUAUGGGUAGAAGAGACGACAGGGGUAAGAAGUGAGGUGAGGGGGGUUAAUAUAAAGAUGGGACUAUGGGUAGAAGAGACGACAGGGGUAAGAAGUGAGGUGGGGGGUUAAUAUAAAGAUGGGACUAUGGGUAGAAGAGACGACAGGGGUAAGAAGUGAGGUGGGGGGGUUAAUAUAAAGAUGGGAUUAUGGGUAGAAGAGACGACAGGGAUAAGAAGUGAGGUGGGGGGGGGGGGGGUAAUAUAAAGAUGGGACUAUGGGUAGAAGAGACGACAGGGAUAAGAAGUGAGGUGGGGGGGGUUAAUAUAAAGAUGGGACUAUGGGUAGAAGAGACGACAGGGGUAAGAAGUGAGGUGGGGGGUGAAUAUAAAGAUGGGAUUAUGGGUAGAAGAGACGACAGGGAUAAGAAGUGAGGUGGGGGGGGGUUAAUAUAAAGAUGGGACUAUGGGUAGAAGAGACGACAGGGAUAAGAAGUGAGGUGGGGGGGGGUG